UCAGUUCCUGUUUCCAAUUGAGACUCAUCUCUGCCUAGGGCAAAGCCCACAGUGAAAGCUCAUUGGUCCGAGAUGCUUCAACUUCCUACACAAACAAACUUCUGCUGUAUUGCUAAAGUGAAAGAAGCAGCUUGUUGUCAUGGUGUAUUCUAAAGUCUGGAUUCAGGACAGAGGGACAGUAUUUUAGUUGCUGAUCUGUGAUGCUGACAUUGUGCUGCAUGAAGAAGUUUUCAUUUAUAACUGUUGGACUUGUGCCCAGACUGCUAUGGUAGGAUUUGGAAGAAAACACAAUAAGGAGAAGAACGUCAGAUCAAUUUUGCAGGAACAUAUGUGGGGGAAAAAGGCUUUAACAAAAGACACUUUUCAAACAGUGAAAGAACUAGACAAUGGACAAUAGUUAUGAAUCUUUAAAAAGCUAUCCUGAGUCAACCCCUAUUAUCCAUGCAGAGUCAAAAGAAUGCUUUAUCUGUCGAGAAGGAGACGAGAUGGGUCGUGACGCUCUGCUGCACUUCUGUGACUGCAAAAACUUGAUUGCUCACCAGAAGUGUGUGUUAACCUGGAUACAAAAGGGUUCUGAUAAUCAAGAUAGAGCAAGAUGCAAAGUAUGUACAGCUGAGUUGUUGCUAUGAAGGAACUAACUUUCCAUGAAGCACUGCUCCAUCAAGCACGCUGAAUUCUUUAUGUUAAAAAGCAAAGUUACCAGCUACAGAAAGGAUCAGUGUGGAGAAUCCUGUUUUGUCACUGGCAGAAUUGGCUCUUCCUCUGCUUGGUCCUGGCUGUAAUGACUAUCAUUCCUCUUGCUGUCUAUCGAAUGAUGGUAGCUUUUAAGGACCCUCCACCCAGUCCUGUAUUCCACGCAGCAGCUGUGUGCUUUGGAGUUCUUGCAGAGACUCUUCUGAUCAAAUACGUAUUGUAUUACUGCAGCAGCAAAUACAACGAGGCCAAGAUGUCUUCAUUUUCCAUCAGAGCGAGAACUGUAGAACAGUGUGAUCAAGGCGUUGGUCUUCUGUGGCCAGCCGGUCAGAACCCACCAACAGCUGUGAUGAGCAGAGCAGAGAUGGGGAAACAAGAGGCAGUCAAAGCCAAAGAAGGUUUCAGCCUGAAGCUGUGUGUAUGACUGGAGCAGAGCAAGGCCAGGACCCAAGGAAACCCCAGCAGCAAGGGAAAAAACAGAUUGACUCUCAGUGACUCAUUUAGCUCCUGGAUUGGACAGAUCUCUCCCCUGCUGGCAGUUUGGCUGAGCAUCAAUGGGACAGAUACCAGGAUGAAUAGCUUAAAAUAAUUAGGGGGCCAAUCUGCAAAACUGCUCUCAUCCAAUUCUUUACUGUGUGAUGAAAGACACAAAACAAAUUACAUUUAGAUUAUUAAAUAUUAAGUCACUGGAUUUACCUCCAUUUGGUCCAAAGCAGGAAACUGGAUAAAAUUCAAUUUUAUAUCAUUGUGUUGAUGGCCUGGUUUUCAUCAAAUGAGUGAGUGUUUUUUUGGCAGGUCAGACUCUUUGACACAUGAGGAAAAUAGGUGCUUAAUUUAAAUGAGAAUUAAUGCAAUCAUAAUUAACUCAAAUGUGAACAGAAUUAAACACAGGCAAGAGUUUAGUUUAAUGCUUAGCAGUUUAAACUAUAUGUUUUAGGACACAUCCUGCUUCAGCUGAAGACAAUGGCAGUGUUGCCACUGAAUUCAGUGGAAACUGCAGUAGGCCUUAUAGGUAGACAGGCAGGAUUCCCUGUACUUUAUAUUUAAUGCACAAAAACAGAAGCAACAAGCUCAUUUAGUAUCAGUAAAGAUCUGUUAAAAUUAUAGAAACAUCCUUUGGAGCAAAUCUUCUGCCUUGUAUUUGCAUAUUUAUGAACUAGAGAUUAUGACAGGCCAUUCCAUUUAUUAGAGCAGCGCUGCUAUAGUUAAUAGUCUGUCAGCAUUUCCAUUAUAAACCCCUUUUUUCAGUGUUUUAAUUUCUCAGCCAUUUGAAAUCACAUCAGGAUGCAACGUAGCCCUUGUGUUGUCAGGCCAGGUGCAUUUUUUAAAAAAAUUUAAAUAAAAAUAUAUUUAAAUGAGCUCAGCUGUUUCUGAUUGGGCAAAUGGCAUAAAAUCACAAAGCUUUGGGGGAUAGUAUUAUUAUUUAUUUUUUUAGGGAGAUUUUGACAAUCGCUUCUUCUUUUUCUUCUCCUUAUCUCAUCACCUGGGGUCGAGUCAUCAUGCAAGCAUCUGCCAUCUUCUUCUGUCUACCAUCUUUUUUGAUGUAAUCCAUCCAUUGCUGCCUCAGCUUUCCUCAGGGUCUCUUUCCAACCACCCUGUCCUGCCAUGCUAUCAUCCCCGAAUCCUCUUCAUUCAUCCUGUGCACAUGUCCAAAACAGCAAAGUUGCACUUCCUGGCUUUUGUCAGCCACAUCACGGACAGUGACUUCCAUCCUAAUGCUUUCAUUGCUAAAUCUGUCCCUUCAUGUAACUCUUUUUAUUAUGCAAAGACAGCUCAUCUCAAACACCUGUCAGCAUUGAACCUGCUGUAUCUUACCCAUGCUUCUGCACCAUACAGCAUUGUGGAGUACACUUGGAAUCUCAGUGUCAGUGGCGUGUGCUUAUCAUAAGCAACAUCUAGGAUGUUAUUCCACACUCAUCCAGCACUCUCCAGUCUGCACUGCAGCUCACAUUCAAGCUUGCUGUCUUCCAUAACCCAGCCACCAAGGUACUAGAACUGGUCACUCUGGUUUAGUCAUGCCCCAUUAAUCUAUAUAUCCAGUUUCCCUGUGGCACCUCUACUGACUCAUAUGACCUCCGUCUCAGUCAUGUUCCUUUUCAUCCCAUGCCUACUUAGUUGGUCAUACCACUGAUUUACUCUUUCCUCUAGGUCUUCUUUUGAGGAUGCCAUUAUUGCUAUAUCAUCUGAGUAUAGCAGCUUCUCACCUUUUCGCAUUGGGUUCUUCCUGCUGACAUAGGCCAUCAAUAUGAUAAACAGCAGUGGAAUGAGAGCUGACCCCAGUGCAGUCUGACUUGCACUUCAAAGGGCUUGUCGUUCCAAUACAUGUUCAGAUCACUGUUGUAGGUGAUGUAUAUAGUGCAUUUGCCAUAAAUAUUAAAUCCUCAGACACUCCAUAUUUCCUCAGCAUUGGUGUGAGCAUCCUUGUGUCCACUUUUUGACAAACACAUCUAUCAAAAACAUCUUGAAGUUUUGAAAAAUGACAUUUUGCAAGCAGCUAGUAUCUAAAGGGAACAUCAGUCCUUGGUGCAAAGUCGAAGUUGCUGGAGUACUUAUCAAGUGGUGACACCAGGCUGGUCCCAAGCACGUGUGAGCCAUUUGGCUGCACAUGGUACCCCUUGCCCUUCGCAGCCAAAGCAUUGGGCUAGAGGUGAUGGCUAGGAAGAGAGAGCAUGUGAGACAGCAGGAGCCACAUUAAGGUGAAUGAGUUGCCUUGGGUAGAACAAGCAGCAGGGGCAGAUCCACAUUGUUGCAGGGUAGGUUGGAGAGUUAUGAAAUUGGCAUCCCCAUAAGUGAUUCUUCUACUUCUUCUGAAACUGGUUAAGACCAGCACUAUGGUGACCUCAUUGCUGUUAUUUUGGAAUGUAACCUUUAGUUCUUUGCUGAGCUUUUCCUAGUUACCCUGCAUGCACUAUAGAGACAAGCUACCCCAUUCUCCUGCCUAUUUGAACUUCCUACUUAUUCUGAGUGUCCCCAGCUUGUCCACGACAGGGGAAUUCCAUCUAUUGCCAACUCCCUGGCAGAAGGAAGAUUGCUGAUUACAAUGGCAAUAUUUAGGUGAGGGCAGAAAUAGGACUAAAGGGACAAAAUUUAAAAACUAGCUCUUUAAUAAAAGACCUGGAUCUUGUAAUUCUACCCGCUUCAAAGGAGUCCCCAGGAAGAGGCAAACACCAAGGAGAACAGGCUUUCGCCUGAGAACACAGGCUUUCCCAUCCUUCCUGUCACAAGAUCCUAGGACAACUGAGACUCUGGGAACCUAAGUGGGACCUGAUUGCACCAAUGUAAGGAAGCUGCCCCAGACUUAUCAUGUAUGAUGCACUUAUUGUGUAACGUAUUAUAAAAGCACCCAGUAUGGAACCAAAACUCUGUAUUGUCUUCCAUGAACUGUGGCUUGCGUAGAAACUCUUAGUUGUAAAAGCUAUGCUACAUAUCCACUUCUAAAAAAUAUACCUUUUAAGGUAUGAGGCAGCUAAAGCCUCAGGUCUUAAAGCCUCCAGAUUUUGACAGCAGUCAAAUCCAAACAGAUUCAAACUUUAUGUCUGGCCAGUCUCUGUAAUGAGUAGAAUAAAAAACCUGGAUCAGGACACCAUGUUCAAACCUCUGUAAAACGUGGAUCCAUCUCAGAAUAGCUCAGGCUCAUCUCUACUUCUUUAGCACAACAAUAUUUGGGAUAUUUGUCAAGGUGAUUCCUAAUUUUAGGAGGUUUUUUUUUUCCAAAUUCCACCCCAGAAUUAUGAUAAAGAGCGAUCUUCCUUUCCCUGGAUAGACUGCAAAAAAUUAUCUCUGGUCAUGAUAAAUGGUCAUAACUCAGAACUAGGCAGAAUUAGGACUAGUGCUUCCUGAUUGUUUUGCAUUUGUAAUAUUAAAACUUUUUUAAAAAGUAAGUGUUGCCUGAUGUAGCAGUAAUGAAGAGACUGCCAAGCAUGUGUUCAAAUAUGUAUAGAGUAUGCACUAUUAUAUGUAAUCUGAUGGAAGAUACAGUCUGUAACUUAUCUGAGUAUUAGUGUUCACUACAUAUUUGUUUUGCUAUCUUUCAUUUUUACUUUGCAAUGAAAUAAAAAUACUUGCACAACUGAUUUUAAUCUGUCUCUGAAUAUUACAAAUACAAACUAUUAUGUAAUUAGCCACAAUAAGAUGUGUGCAGUUGUGGGUGUGGUGGGUUUGUAGAUUGAAUGCCAACACUCAUCUAGGUAUGGAGUUGUAAAAUUACACAAUAAUUUACACCCUGGGUAAGUGCUGUAAUUAUAUUUUACAUUAAAAUAAGUUAUGUUAACAAAACAGAACACACUCUUUUUGUCUUCCCACUGAAGUAGAUCAUAGCAGAGGAUUAUGAUAACAGUAUUACCUGGAUAUAGCAUCUUUCAUCUGCAAAGGACCCAAUAGUACUUUACCAACAUAAAUGUGAUACAGAAACAACACACAAAGAUCACUUCAUCCACCAGUGAAAUGAAGCCACCCCAGGGUGGAAAUGCCGCAAAUGCUGAAUAAUACACAGCAAUACUACACAACAGUUUUAUGCAGGAAGUGAAGAUCACCAUGUCCAAUUGAAACUGCUGGAGAAUUUUAAAUAGGCUGAGUGUAAUUACCUUGGUUAGAAUUUGGCCUGGACCCUGGAAUUUAUAAUCCUCUAUCUCUCAAAAAGUUUCCGGAGACUGAACUCCUCGGUACAGUAAAAAAAACGUUGAAAUUUCACCAGAUUUACUACAUUUUAAUGACUGAAAUAUUCUGCAAGCUUUGGGAUCCUGAAACCUUUGAGGAAACAUAGCGCCACACUAUGAAUCCAAUGUUUCUCUGUUGUGUUUACCCCAGAGUUUCUGGGUUAUAAUGAGCAGAAGUGCUCAAGUGCAAGAGAAUUUGUUAGCCAACAUCUGGAGAACAAGUGACUUCUGGUAGGAUGCUUUAGAUAUGUGCUCUGUGAACCCAUAAUAAUUUCUGACACAGGGCAAAAGUCUUCUCUGGCCCAAGUGCAAAUCUCUGGCACAUUUAUCACUUGUUCAACAUGUGGUACUUCUAUUAACAUGGAUGGGCAUUCUAUCUAUCCAUCUUCAGAUUAUGCAAUAGAGAUCUGCAAGACAGAUAAGAGAUCAACAGUGCAGAUCAAAAAGGUGAACUUCUAAACUCCAGUUUAGAUCAUACUUGUACCCUUGUGUCUCUGUGAAUUGUUCUGUUUAGUUACAGUAUUUUCUCUCUUUUGAUAUGGCUCCAAGGUGAAGAAACCAACAGAAGAUUGAUUAUGGCAAAAACUGCAACAGCAAAAAAAAUCACCCAAAACACCUGCUCAUUGUAAAUGUAAAACCCAGGUCCUGGACCUGGGCCUUUUCCUCUACAUGGGUGGGGUAGAUGAGUUGCUGUCUGAGGAUAAAGAAAGAAGAUGAUUUUAUCUCUGCAUAUUCAACUCUGAAGAUCUUGAAUGUGGUUUAGUGGGGUAAUAAAGUUAUUCCUGAUCAAGCUGAACUGCUGUCAGGAAAUGUAUGCAGAGAUGUUAAGGAAACUUCAGAAGAAAACUGCAGAUUCUGGAAGAAUUAGCAGCACAGACAAAUAAGUUAAAAAUUAGUGACAAUUAAUUCUAAUUUGUUAGAAAAAAUGACUCUUGCUAAAUAAAACAUCGACAAUUGCAAGACCGCUUCCAGUUUCUCCACAAUAAUAUUGGCUUAUUGGAGAGUCAGGAGAUUCUCAAAGAAGUUAAUUUGGUCAAAUACUUAAGGAAUUUGCUAUCUUUGUUUGAAUUAAUUAAUCUACUGUCAAGGUAGGUGCACAUCAUCUUUCCACAUCUGCAGCCACUGAGGCUCCCAUGAUCAUGGGGAAUCUAUUAAUGUGUAAUGUAUUGUAUUUACUGCCCGUAGUCUAGUGUUGCAUUAUGUGGAGGACAAGCUGCUUCGUAUUGAAUGAGAGCUCUUUGGAAAUAACACCUUGAGCCUCCUGGGAAACCCCUGUGUCUCUCAGUCUAUCUCAAACAUGAGUGGGCCAUAUCUCAGUUUCCCUCCUUGUUCUAUUUAACAGGAAAUCUCUAUUUGUUAUUUCCCAAAUCGCCUUCCCCACUCCCUCUCAAAACACAAAAAAACAAUUCUGGAUAUCUUGAUCUGAUUCCAGUCUCAUUUAGGGCCUGAUCCAAAGCCCAUUGAAGUCAAUGGGAAAUACUUCAAUGGGUUUUAUAUCAGAUGCUUAAACUGAUUUCACACCAAUGUAAAUCCACUGAUCUAAAUUGAGUUACUCCUGAUUAAAGCUGAUGUAAGUGAGAAGAGGAUCAGGCCUGUAAACAAUCCCUGACGGCAACUAUUGGACUGAAUCUACCCUGUCACCAAAUCAGGUAUAUUGUAGGUACUUGGGACAGGACUGAUUGAACCAACAUAGAAUAGAUCAUAGAAUAUCAGGGUUGGAAGGGACCUCAAGAGGUCAUCUAGUCCAACCCUCUGCUCAAAGCAGGACCAAGCCCCAAUUUUUGCUCCAGAUCCCUAAAUGGCCCCCUCAAGGAUUGAACUCACAACCCUGGGUUUAGCAGGCCAAUGCUCAAACCACUGAGCUAUCCCUCCCCCAACCCCAACCCUGUCUACUAGAUCUAUCGAUGCAGAAAAUGCUCACCUGUACUCCUGUAUUGCUACCUCUGGGCAGCUUGACACAAGUUACACUUUCUUUUGCUUCUUGAAUGUUUGAGAUGUACAUUUAAUUGCGAUCUGGGCCUGCUGUGAUAAGACUCUGAACUUGAACAUUUUUGAGAAGGUUUUGGUCUUCCCAGAUGACCCUCCAAACCCCAUAAAAGCUGUAACAACUACUCGUCAUUAUAAAAUGAAUAACAGCAACUGCCUCCGUGAGAACUACCACCAAAGGGUGUAGACGCUGAGCCUUCAGGCCAGAGUAAUCUCCAUUGGCUGCCAGUAGUUCCAGGGGGAUGUUAUGGCAGCCAGGGACUGUCAGUGGCAAGGGAAUCUCUACCCCAGUCACAAGGAGUGGUGUGACAGAGGAGCUGUUUUGUUAGCUGUAUGCCACCUCAGGCUACCCCUCUGCAGGGAAGAGCCUGCUGGAGCUGGACCUACUUUGUGCUGCUGCUAAGGUGCAAAGUAGCCAGAGGGCAGCCCAGAAGAAGGGCCUGUAAUAGAAACCAUGCUAAUUGUAUAGAUACAUAAUGGUUAAUGGUGGCUAAACCGAGGGUAGGGAUGUAGAUGGGGGCAACAGGAAAAUGUUAGCUGGUUGUUAAGAUGGGAUUAAGUUUUAAAUAUGAUUUCAGCUGUUAGAGAGGCAGAUGGUUCUGUUACUAAUGAUCCCUUACUUGAAGAGCAGACUUAUAAACACCUCUAUAAAUCUGCAGUUGUAGAAGUUAAUAAAAAAUAGAGCAUUCAGUUGCACAAUGGGAAGUCAGUAGGUUAGCAGACGGGGAUAUUCUUUCAAACUGGGUAUGACUCCAAGACAGUUUAGGAUGUUAAUCAAGGUUGAAGCCUUGUGCCUUUCUGACCUAACGUGAUAUUCAUACAAAGCUUACUGACAUGAUGUUCAGCUUUCAUGUCAGAAAGGGUCUUUGCUUGAGAUUUUUAAGUUUGCGUUCAGUUUUGAUAUUCAAAGAAAAAUCAGUUCCUCCCAACUUCAUAUAGAACAACGCCUUUAUUCAGCUCUGAAUGGAAAAUUCAUGCUCAGAUACUGUCUAUGUGUGCUAUACUACUGCAGCUGUAGCAUGGGGCCCAACCAGGCCUGUGCAGCCUGCCUUGUUUCCAUGACACAAAGAGCCUACGUGUGUCCUCCUCUGACACAGCCCCUAGCCUUUCCCAGUUCAUAGUGUCCAGAACUCUGCCCCAUGUGGGUUGUGAAAGAUGAUGUUGUGUGGGAGCUGAGAGUCCAUGUCUCCCCUAAGGUCUGGGAGAGGGGGCAGGCUCAUGCUGACUGAUUGACAGUCAGCCACCGAAGCACCUUAAAUGGAUGUGGGUCCCCUUGUGCACCACCCAGUCUGUCUUACAGCUUUGAAAUGGCUGGUUGAAGAGGCUGUUCCCCCACUGUCCCAGAGAGGAAAUGAUUUUUGUCCUAAACCUACAGAGCUUUCCAGUCCCUCUCGCUCGCUCUCUGUCACUCUCUUUUACCCACCACAACAGCUGUUCAGAGGUUACUGCAGCCUGUAAUAACCUCCACAGGACAUGAACAGGAAGAGCAAUGUUUGGGGAUCUGUGGUGCAGGCAGGAAGCUGAUUUACUUGAGCUUCUUUACUCCCUGAGCCACUCAGUACUGCAUUUCUCCUGUGCCCUCCUUUACAGCCAAUGCCAACCAUCCCCAGGACUGGUCAGCCCAGGGCAUAAUCAGUGGGAAACAACUACGGUGCCCAUCUCCGACAUAUAAAGCAGGUCCAGAGUUUGGCCCCGUGAAAUGUGAGAAAACAAUAGUUUCGAUUAUCCAUAUGGAUCAAUCUGGAUUUAUUCCAGACUGCUUCAUUAAUAGCAAUCAAAGGCAUCACUUUAAUGGAUUUUUUAUCCUCAAAAUUAAGAUCAUGAGGAAUUUGUUCCAGCUAUUGAUUUUGAAAAGGCUUUUGAUUCUCUUCAAUAGCCUUAACUUAUUUCAGAUUUAGAUAGCAGGAGGAUUUGGCCUCAAAUACAUUAAAUGGGUCAGUCUUCUUUAUUGAAAUCCACAGUUAUAUUAAAACAAAUUAUCCCAGUUUGGAUAGGAUUUAUAUAUUGUGGCCUUGGACAAGGAGGGUCGCUUUGCCCUAAUACUUUUUGCUAUUGCACUGGAGCCUUUCGCUCUUUGUUUUAGGAGGCAUCAGUAUUUUUCAGGGGCAAAAUCAGUUGAUAUGUCUCAGAGUAUCUCUAUGUAGAGCCGUGUAGAGAAGAUGUUAAUUUAUAAUUAAAAAAAAAACAAGAUUAUGGAUGUUUUGCAGGAAAUUACCGCGUGUUCAAGUUUAUUAUUUGUUAAUUGGGGUAAACUCUUAAAGCCAUUAGGCGAUUUAAAUGUAGUUCUAUUUGAGCAAUAUCCUUUAUUGGAUCCCCCAUUAUCCUUUAAAUAUCUUGGUGUGCGAGAGGAUAAAAUUAGAAAGAAUUUGUUUGCUCUAAAUUGCCAGCCUCUGCUUGAUAAAACUAUUAGCUAUUUAGCUAAUUGGACGGAUCUUCCAUUAUCAUUAAUUGGCAGAAUUAAUACAAUUAAAAUGGUGGCUUUAUCUAAAUGUUUGUGUUUAUUUCAGUGUAUCCCCGUCAUGUUCCAUAACAUGUUUGGAAAGCCUUAAACUCUGCAAUUAAUUCUCUUUUAGGGGGUUAAAGGUAAAAUUAAGAUUAAUUUUGAAACUCUGCAACUUCUCUUAGAGUCAGCUGGAGUGGUUCACUUCAUAUUCAUUUAUUUAUUUAUUUUGGCUGCACAUUAUAGUAUGUUGUUGCAUGAUUUAGACAAUCCCCAGUUAGGCAGAGCAAAAUCAAAGAGCAUCAAACCAACAUCUCCUGUUCUGCAGCCGUACUUGAUACACUUGCUCUUCUAGGGCUGGAUCCUGCAAGCGGCUAGGCACCCUGCCCAAGAAAGCACUUAAACAUGUGCUUAACUUUAAGUACAUGUGUAAACCCAUUGAAGUCAAUAGAUUAGUCAUAUAGUUUAAGUUACGCAUGUGCUUUAACGCUUUGCUGUACUGGGGCCAGCAAGUUAAGUUUGCAGGACUGAGCCUCAAUUACUGUUGCUAGCUCCCCUGGUGGACUGGCAGACAAAUGUGUAUCAGUGUGCACACACUUUGCCCAUGUUCUCCUCUCAUGAUUUCUUUUAAAUUUGGCUAAACUUUUUGUGCCUGAUUUUUAAGGGGUUUCUACCCCCUUUUUUUUUUUUUAGCACAAAUUAUCCCGGCAAAAAUUGUAUUUGCAUGGUUUGCACCCACAGUUCUUUGUGGGCACCUCUUAUUUUGGAUGGAUUCAUACCUGGUUGCAAGUGCAAAUUGGGUACUUUCCUCUCUAAAUGGCAAGGUUAUCCAUGGGUGAAAAAAAUGUGUGGCCACAAGUACAGUAAGGGAAAAUUGCACUCUCAGAAACAGAGGCUGUCCUUUGACAGUCUGGCCAGGUAUUUCCAAGAUUAUUCCUGCUGAUGUGCCUUCUACGCUGGUGAGAAGAGGUGAUGGAGUAGCUAUGCCAGCUCUUCACUGUCCAGAGGUUCUCCCGUAUCAGAAGGAGCCUCAUCCAGCAAGGUUCACUGGCUUUAAAACUGAUGUGCAUCAACAGACUUCCACAAAGCGGAUUUGGAGGACCCAAAAUCAGGCCCAGCAUUGCAGGCAUGACUCCAAUAAACACAGCUAAUAAUGAGUAGGGAGUCUGAGUCAGUGACACCUAUAACGUCUGGGUUCUUCUGUGGCUCCUAAGAACCAUACCGUGGGGGAGGUAGCUCUAGGGGCAUUCUGGAGUGGCAUCCUCUAUGUGCAUGAAUCUCAAAAGGAGGUGCUAUUUACUUUUGAUGAAGAAAUCUCCCACAUCAGCAGCUUCUGUGUAUCAAAAACCCACCUGAGUGGGACAGGAUAACUUAAGGGCUCUGCAAGGAGCUACAAGGCCGUUUCACUCUGAGUUACCAAUUCAAAUCCAGCCAAGUUUGGUACCAAGUGAACUGGAAAUGAAGAAUCCUAUGAACCACUACAGCCUGGGGACCUACUGGCUAAGCAGCAGUUCUGCAGAAAAGGACCUGGGGAUUACAGUGGACGAGAAGCUGGAUAUGAGUCAGCAGUGUGCCCUUGUUGCCAAGAAGGCCAACGGCAUAUUGGGCUG